rnacentral:rRNA from 1 species
CUGGCGGCGUGCCUAAUACAUGCAAGUCGAGCGGACAGAUGGGAGCUUGCUCCCUGAUGUUAGCGGCGGACGGGUGAGUAACACGUGGGUAACCUGCCUGUAAGACUGGGAUAACUCCGGGAAACCGGGGCUAAUACCGGAUGGUUGUUUGAACCGCAUGGUUCAAACAUAAAAGGUGGCUUCGGCUACCACUUACAGAUGGACCCGCGGCGCAUUAGCUAGUUGGUGAGGUAAUGGCUCACCAAGGCAACGAUGCGUAGCCGACCUGAGAGGGUGAUCGGCCACACUGGGACUGAGACACGGCCCAGACUCCUACGGGAGGCAGCAGUAGGGAAUCUUCCGCAAUGGACGAAAGUCUGACGGAGCAACGCCGCGUGAGUGAUGAAGGUUCUCGGAUCGUAAAGCUCUGUUGUUAGGGAAGAACAAGUACCGUUCGAAUAGGGCGGUACCUUGACGGUACCUAACCAGAAAGCCACGGCUAACUACGUGCCAGCAGCCGCGGUAAUACGUAGGUGGCAAGCGUUGUCCGGAAUUAUUGGGCGUAAAGGGCUCGCAGGCGGUUUCUUAAGUCUGAUGUGAAAGCCCCCGGCUCAACCGGGGAGGGUCAUUGGAAACUGGGGAACUUGAGUGCAGAAGAGGAGAGUGGAAUUCCACGUGUAGCGGUGAAAUGCGUAGAGAUGUGGAGGAACACCAGUGGCGAAGGCGACUCUCCGGUCUGUAACUGACGCUGAGGAGCGAAAGCGUGGGGAGCGAACAGGAUUAGAUACCCUGGUAGUCCACGCCGUAAACGAUGAGUGCUAAGUGUUAGGGGGUUUCCGCCCCUUAGUGCUGCAGCUAACGCAUUAAGCACUCCGCCUGGGGAGUACGGUCGCAAGACUGAAACUCAAAGGAAUUGACGGGGGCCCGCACAAGCGGUGGAGCAUGUGGUUUAAUUCGAAGCAACGCGAAGAACCUUACCAGGUCUUGACAUCCUCUGACAAUCCUAGAGAUAGGACGUCCCCUUCGGGGGCAGAGUGACAGGUGGUGCAUGGUUGUCGUCAGCUCGUGUCGUGAGAUGUUGGGUUAAGUCCCGCAACGAGCGCAACCCUUGAUCUUAGUUGCCAGCAUUCAGUUGGGCACUCUAAGGUGACUGCCGGUGACAAACCGGAGGAAGGUGGGGAUGACGUCAAAUCAUCAUGCCCCUUAUGACCUGGGCUACACACGUGCUACAAUGGACAGAACAAAGGGCAGCGAAACCGCGAGGUUAAGCCAAUCCCACAAAUCUGUUCUCAGUUCGGAUCGCAGUCUGCAACUCGACUGCGUGAAGCUGGAAUCGCUAGUAAUCGCGGACCAGCAUGCCGCGGUGAAUACGUUCCCGGGCCUUGUACACACCGCCCGUCACACCACGAGAGUUUGUAACACCCGAAGUCGGUGAGGUAACCUUUUAGGAGCCAGCCGUCGAAGGUGGGACAGAUGAUUGGGGUGAAGUCGUAACAAGGUA